rnacentral:rRNA from 1 species
GACGAACGCUGGCGGCGUGCCUAAUACAUGCAAGUCGAACGCUUCUUUCCUCCCGAGUGCUUGCACUCAAUUGGAAAGAGGAGUGGCGGACGGGUGAGUAACACGCGGGUAACCUACCCAUCAGAGGGGGAUAACACUUGGAAACAGGUGCUAAUACCGCAUAACAGUUUAUGCCGCAUGGCAUAAGAGUGAAAGGCGCUUUCGGGUGUCGUUGAUGGAUGGACCCGCGGUGCAUUAGCUAGUUGGUGAGGUAACGGCUCACCAAGGCCACGAUGCAUAGCCGACCUGAGAGGGUGAUCGGCCACACUGGGACUGAGACACGGCCCAGACUCCUACGGGAGGCAGCAGUAGGGAAUCUUCGGCAAUGGACGAAGGUCUGACCGAGCAACGCCGCGUGAGUGAAGAAGGUUUUCGGAUCGUAAAACUCUGUUGUUAGAGAAGAACAAGGACGUUAGUAACUGAACGUCCCCUGACGGUAUCUAACCAGAAAGCCACGGCUAACUACGUG